GUGAUAGUACCCUUUGGGACUAUACUUAGAUGUGUUAUUUUUUACAAUGAAAAUCGGCUCUGAGCAUUUGCCCGAGACUGAGAA
rfam:Clostridiales bacterium 38-18 SCNpilot_bf_inoc_scaffold_11, whole genome shotgun sequence.